AUUGAACGCUGGCGGCAGGCUUAACACAUGCAAGUCGGGCGGAAACGAAGAUAGCUUGCUAUCAGGCGUCGAGCGGCGGACGGGUGAGUAACGCGUAGGAAUCUACCUAAUGGUGGGGGAUAGCCCGGGGAAACACGGAUUAAUACCGCAUACACUCUACGGAGGAAAGCAGGGGCUCUUAGGACCUUGCGCCAAUAGAUGAGCCUGCGUGAGAUUAGCUAGUUGGUGAGGUAAAGGCUCACCAAGGCGACGAUCUCUAGCUGGUCUGAGAGGAUGAUCAGCCACACUGGGACUGAGACACGGCCCAGACUCCUACGGAGGCAGCAGUGGGGAAUAUUGGACAAUGGGGGCAACCCUGAUCCAGCCAUGCCGCGUGUGUGAAGAAGGCCUUCGGGUUGUAAAGCACUUUCAGCGAGGAGGAAGGCUGUAUGGCUAAUACCCAUACAGAUUGACGUUACUCGCAGAAGAAGGACCGGCUAACUCCGUGCC
rnacentral:rRNA from 1 species